AUUGAACGCUGGCGGCAUGCCUUACACAUGCAAGUCUAACGGUAACAGGUCUUCGGAUGCUGACGAGUGGCGAACGGGUGAGUAAUACAUCGGAACGUGCCCGAUCGUGGGGGAUAACGAGGCGAAAGCUUUGCUAAUACCGCAUACGAUCUACGGAUGAAAGCGGGGGAUCUUCGGACCUCGCGCGGACGGAGCGGCCGAUGGCAGAUUAGGUAGUUGGUGGGAUAAAAGCUUACCAAGCCGACGAUCUGUAGCUGGUCUGAGAGGAUGAUCAGCCACACUGGGACUGAGACACGGCCCAGACUCCUACGGGAGGCAGCAGUGGGGAAUUUUGGACAAUGGGCGAAAGCCUGAUCCAGCCAUGCCGCGUGCAGGAUGAAGGCCUUCGGGUUGUAAACUGCUUUUGUACGGAACGAAAAGCCUCUUUCUAAUAAAGAGGGGUCAUGACGGUACCGUAAGAAUAAGCACCGGCUAACUACGUG
rnacentral:rRNA from 1 species